AAAGACGUGCGCCUGUCUCCCUCUUGAUUCCUUACCCCAAAUUGCUUCUGAUUUUCCCUAUCUGAAAAAAGUCACUCCCCAAAAUGUUUUUGUGGCCAUGUUUGCUGGCGCCCAGAGCUCUCUCUUUGCCCGUCGUGGGUAUUUUUAGCUACGGAGUGUUUUGUUUGGAAUCAGAACAAAAUUCUGUCGAGCAUUUGAAACUUCUGUGGGCUGACCAGGGACCAGAACUACCGCUCAGACCUUCCCGAGUGCAGGUGUAAUAUGAAGUUGCCACUUACCAAUUGGAAAGAGUCACAUCCAGUAAAGAAGCAACAGGAACAAUAACUGAAAAGAGUAAACAGUCCGAGAGGAAUCCUCCUAGGGGAACAGGAGGUAUUCGAGAAUCGGUCUGGGAAGCUGUGGCCUCUCAGGCCUGCUUUGGAAAGGGAAGCAUACAUGAGCCAAAAAUCCAAGUUAGGCCACGGGGGUGGGGGAAUAAGGGAUGGGAGAAAGGAAACAAUGAUCCAGUUAGAGAGGUUUUAGUUUUUUUUCUAAAUUUAUUUUAUUUUAUGUGCAUUGGUGUUUUUGACAUGGGUGUUGAGUUCCCUGGAACGGGUGUUACAGACAGUUGUGAGCUGCCGUGUGGGUGCUGGGAAUUGAACCCAGGUCCUCCAGAAGAAAACCACUGCUUUUAACCACUGAGCCAUCUCUCCAGCCCCUUAGUCUGUUUGUUUUAAAGCCUUUCAGUCCUCAGCAAUAAGAAGUAAAUUUUCAUUUUUUUUUGUGGGUUUAUUUCUUUGUCAUUUUCUUCCUCCCCCCCCCCCCCCCAGUAAUAUCUAUUCCUCCAAAACAUGACCCAUUCUCCCUGGCAUGUGGUGGGUUCUCUCUGUAUCUGCCAUAUCAGAAAGAGCAAAAAAGGCUGGGACUCCACUCUUCCCCUAGCCUAUCAAUUAUAGAGACUGAGCUUCAAUCCCUGCUAUAGAGGAAGCACAUGGACACCUAUAGAGCAAAAAAUAAAUAAAAAAUAAAAAAAUUAAAAAAAAAUAAAGGGGGAAGCACCAGAUAGGACAUCCCCCAAAUACAUAUCAAAAUCCUUCCUAAAGUAGGUCAUCUUCCCAGGUCUGGGCCCUUCUCUACUCUGGAAACUAGUAAGGCUUAUCGUAAACAAAUCCUUCCAUGGGAAUGUUGCUGCAAUCCUUCCCAUUUAGGUGAUCGUGAGCAACAUCUAUGCCCUUCCUGAAGUCUUAACAACAAAGCUAGGCAGUUUCCCCAGAGUCCACUCUGACCGACUGUGAGUUGAUUCAGUUUCCUGCACAGCACAGGGCACACUGGAGAGUCAGACAAGGUGUCUUUCCUAUCGGUGGGAAAACUGGCCCUUCAUGUUACACUUUCCCUCAGAUGCAGAGAGGGCCCCCUGCCCUAGUCUUCCCAAGCUUGAACGGUGUAGCCCCUCCUGAAGCCACAUGCUGGUAGGGUGGCUUGCCUAACAGGUGAAAUGGAGCAGCUGGGAGUGAAUCCACAGAUACUGAGCUCUUGCAGGGACAAUCAUAAAGCCUCUGGCACGCGCCCUUUAUCAUGAUCCUUUGCCGAGUUCCAGGAUCCGCAGGACCCAGAUCCUGGUUUUCCUCUAUGCACAGUGACUUUAGUCAGGACUGCUUUGAUAGUGUGCCUACGUCCAAAGCUCUUUGUCUUGUAUACAUUGCCUAUUAUAUCUCCUAAGAUCUAUUCUUUUAGAAGUCAACGUUUCUAAAUUCUAAAAUCCCAAGUAUUUUGACACCAAUUUCUUGACUUAAUUUUUGAGAUUCUUUUUCCUCACCUCCUAAGAAUUUAGGGUUCUCCAGUGUGCGGGCUAAUUUUAUGUUAACUUGACACAGGCUAGAGUCAUCCAAGGGGAGGGAACCCUAAUUGAGAAAAUGCCUCCGUAAGACUAGUCUGAAGGCAAGCCUGUAAAAAUUUUCAUAAUUAGUGAUUGGUGGGGGACAGCCCAGGUCAUUUUGGGUGGGGUCAUCCCUGGGUUAGUGGUCCUGGGUUCCGUAAGCAGGCUGAAUAAGCCAUGAGAAACAAGCAGGUACGCAGCAUCCUCCAAGGCCUCAACAUCAGCUCCUGAGUUCUUGUCCUGACUUCCUUCAAUGAUAAUAUCUGGGAGUGUAAGUCAGAUAAACCAUUUCCUACUAACUUGAUUUAUCACAGCAAUUAGUAUCGCUAAGACACAGGGUAGGCUGAGCUGUUGUCCCUGAAGACUAGUACCUCCACGCUAUUUUAUUACCACUUGAGAGUACCUGUUCACAAAAGACUGCCAUUUGAUUUUUUCAUAAAGCCAGAAACAUGGAAAUCAACUUUUUUCUUCUACUCCUGUAGAACUUUAAGACAAUUCUGAGGCCAUUUCUGAGCCCUCUCAACCUUAGUGCCUUAGCGCCCCCCACCCCGUCCCUGGGAAUCUAACAACUAUACAUGCAUGGACUGAAAUGUUGGGAACUUCCCACAGAUGUCCAUAGACAUUUUUUUUAUUAUUUUGUUUAUUUAUUUAUUUUGGUUUUUCGAGACAGGGUUUCUCUGUGGCUUUGGAGCCUGUCCUGGAACUAGCUCUGUAGACCAGGCUGGUCUCAAACUCACAGAGAUCCACCUGCCUCUGCCUCCCGAGUGCUGGGAUUAAAGGCGUGCGCCACCACCGCCCAGCGUCCAUAGAUAUUUUGACUCUGUCCCUGGAAAGGAGUCAGAAUGACCCCCAGAUGUUCCCCCGUUACCUCAUCUGAUCUGGCAAUCACUCUCCAGCUCUGGCUCAGGCCACUUGUUAUUAGAAGCCCCCUGAAUAAGCCAAUCCUAAUAAUUGGAAAACAACCCCCGAGUUCCCUCCCCCCCUUGUUUCUAUGGCUUUUUGCUUUAUUAAUGGCUUGUGACAGGCAUUCAGGGUCCUUGGCAUUGAAUGCUGAGUGACCCUGCCAUGGCAGAAUUGAAAUCCUCUUGCUUUUACAACAACUGCGGUGUGAGAGUGUAUUCUUGGGGUGACUCCUCCUUGGUGGACCCUAGGGUCCAACACUCCCUCAUAUCUAUUGACUAAUCAUACCUAUUUACCAUUUAGGUAUUGCAAUUUCACUCCCCAAUUCAUUCUGCUCCUAUUGCUACUGCCCUAAAUUAUGGCCUCUAGCUUGCCUGGGUCACUGACUCCUCCAUACCAGACCUCCAUGUUAAUUCCUGCAUUCCAGAUCCCUUCUCCACAUUACUGUUAGAGACCCAGUUUGUCUACCUCUUUAACACCUUGCCUUGCCUUUAGUUUUUUUUUUUUGUUUGUUUGUUUUUUUGUUUUUGUUUUUCCAAAUAGGGUUUCUCUGUAGCUUUGGAGCCUGUCCUGAAACUAGCUCUUGUAGAUCAGGCUGGCCUCGAACUCACAAAGAUCCUCCCGAGUGCUGAGAUUAAAGGCAUGCGUCACCACCUCCCAGCUUUGCCUUUAAUUAUUCUUCCUUGGCUGGUUGCUGUAAUCUCAGCACAUGUGAGAAAGAGGAAAGAUCACAAGUUUAAGGCCAUCCUGGGCUACAUGAGACUCCCCCCCCCCCACCUUGUGCUAAGGAUAGACAAUCUAGAACACAUCUGGGCCUGGAACAUUGAUGACAAUGUGCCAUGUCAGUCCUGAACUAGUUACCUCUGAGUUUUCUUUAAGAACCAAAUAAUUUUUGGGGGAGGGGAGGGGUUUGAGACAGUUUUUCUGUAGCUUUGGGGCCUAUCCUGGAACUCACUCUACAGAUCAGGCUGGUGUCGAACUCAGAGAUCCGCCUGCCGCUGCCUCCUGAGUGCUGGGAUUAAAGGGGUGCGCCACCAUCGCCCAGUAAGAACCAAACUAUUUAAGCUACUGGUCAUUUAGGUAUGCCUCAUCCGGAGGGUCAGACAAGUAUGUGAAGAAAAUGUGUUCUCGAGAGGCCUGCAGGUGGACUUUGCUCCACUAGAGUCUGGUUAGGAGAACAUUGAUGUCAAUAGUUAAAUUUCUUUUGAGAGUCUAGAAGAAUGGCUCAGCAGUAAAAAACACUGACUGCUUUUCUAGAGGACCCAGUUUCAAUUCUCAGAACCCAAGGAACCCCAAUGACCUCUUGUGGCCUCUACGGACAGCAGCCACACAGGUGGUACACAGAUAAACACAAAAAACAAAACACCCAUACACAUUAAAAUUUCUUCUAAGAAUUUCAGCAAUGUAGUUAACAGAGGCUUAUCAACUAAUCACACUUUAGUGUGACCUGGAGGGAGCAGGGCGGCUCAUUGAAACACAUGGCCUUCACUGAAGCAGAUUGCUCCAACAGUUUGUCACAAUCCUUCGAGUACAGCUAUGGUGCAAUGGCCGACUUAAUAAGCAACAGCCAUGAGUGACUUUUCUCCCACUUCAUAGUCCUUGAUCACCUUUAAUUUCAUUUCUGGGUCAGCCAUUUGAUGACAACUUACUAUCAAUAUCUUGUUUCAUAAGGAGGUACAAGACACUGAAAUUUAUGACUGAAGACCCCUUCCAGAGGUUAUAUAAGCCGUACACACUUACACGUAGCGAUGCUUUCAUGAGUCCUCACCCAGGCUGUUAAGCUGUUCUCAGUUGCAGCUGUCAAUCAUCUGUAUUCCUGUUAGUAAUCCUGAGAAAUUUAUGGGCCCAUCAAGCUGGGCUUGGAUGGAAUCUUCUUUCGCUAUUAUUGUCCUCUCUCCAAGAAAAAAAACAUGUAACAAAGUCUGUUGAAUAUUCCAAGGCAGCAAAUUCUGAAGGCACAAAAGGAUGGCAAGGGAGCACGGGACCAGCUUUGGUAACUUUGACAUGGUUUUUAACUAGUGCUUUAUUGGGAAUGUCCUUUUUGAAGUUCAUCAUGUCUAUCUCCCCUUCCUGUGCAUUAUGUUGAAACUAAUCCUCAAAGCAGCUUUAUGAAGAUGGGGGAUGGUGGGUUGAUUCAGUUAUAAAGACUGUUUUCAUGAGUGAGACUCGUGCCCUUAAAAAGACUUAAAGACUUCUCAGCCUACGGAACUAGAUUUUAUUUUUAAAGUCAGUUUUACUCUGUAGCCCAGGCUGGUCUCAAACUCACUAUGAUCCUCCUGCUUCAGUCAGCCUUUCAAAUUGGAAACUGUAUGAGUCAUCAGUGCCUAGCUACUUUUUUUAACUGUAAAUCACAAUCAAAGGUGUUUCAGGGGGCUGGAGAGAUGGCUCAGUGGUUAAGGGCAUUGCCUGCUCUUCCAAAGGUCCUGAGUUCAAUUCCCAGCAACCACAUGGUGGCUCACAACCAUCUGUAAUGAGGUCUGGUGCCCUCUUCUGGCCUGCAGACAUACACACAGACAGAAUAUUGUAUACAUAAUAAGUAAAUAAAUAUUUUUUUUAAAAAAAAAAGGUGUUUCAGUGCUGGGGCUGUGGUGGUACAUGCCUUCAAUCUGAGCACUGAGGAGGCAGAGGCAGACAGAUCUCUGUGAAUUCAGGGCCAGCCUGGGCUACAGAGCAAGUUCCAAGAUUGGUGUAGGAGGUCCUUCUGUAUUUGUGCUGCUUUCAUUGUUAUUAAAGAAACUGCCUUGGCCUUCUGAUAGGGCAGAACUUAGAUAGGUGGGGAAAAGAGAACUGAAUGCUGGGAGAAAGAAGGCAGGCAGAGAGAGCUGCCAUGAAGUCACCAGGUCAGAGAUGCUGAAUCUUUCCUGGUAAGGCACGACCUCGUGGUGACAUACAGAUUAUUAGAAAUGGGUUGAAUCAAGAUGUGAGAGUUAGCCAAUAAGAGGCUAGAACUAAUGGGCCAGGCAGUAAUUUAAUUAAUACAAAUUCUGUGUGGUUAUUUCGGGGGUUAAGCUAGCCAGGCGGCGGGAUGCAGCCCACACCUUCUACAACACAAGACAGCCAGGACUACACAGAGAAACCCUAUCUUGAAAAAAAAAAAAAAAAGGCAAAACAAAA